GGAGGGGUUCCCGAGUGGCCAAAGGGAGCAGACUGUAAAUCUGCCGGUUCGCCUUCGAAGGUUCGAAUCCUUCCCCCUCCA
rfam:Oceanospirillum multiglobuliferum strain ATCC 33336 NODE_353_length_405_cov_0.838129, whole genome shotgun sequence.